GACGAACGCUGGCGGCGUGCUUAACACAUGCAAGUCGAACGGAAAGGCCCUGCUUUUGUGGGGUGCUCGAGUGGCGAACGGGUGAGUAACACGUGAGUAACCUGCCCUUGACUUUGGGAUAACUUCAGGAAACUGGGGCUAAUACCGGAUAGGAGCUCCUGCUGCAUGGUGGGGGUUGGAAAGUUUCGGCGGUUGGGGAUGGACUCGCGGCUUAUCAGCUUGUUGGUUGGGUAGUGGCUUACCAAGGCUUUGACGGGUAGCCGGCCUGAGAGGGUGACCGGCCACAUUGGGACUGAGAUACGGCCCAGACUCCUACGGGAGGCAGCAGUGGGGAAUAUUGCACAAUGGGCGGAAGCCUCAUGCAGCAACGCCGCGUGCGGGAUGACGGCCUUCGGGUUGUAAACCGCUUUCGCCUGUGACGAAGCGUGAGUGACGGUAAUGGGUAAAGAAGCACCGGCUAACUACGUGCCAGCAGCCGCGGUGAUACGUAGGGUGCGAGCGUUGUCCGGAUUUAUUGGGCGUAAAGGGCUCGUAGGUGGUUGAUCGCGUCGGAAGUGUAAUCUUGGGGCUUAACCCUGAGCGUGCUUUCGAUACGGGUUGACUUGAGGAAGGUAGGGGAGAAUGGAAUUCCUGGUGGAGCGGUGGAAUGCGCAGAUAUCAGGAGGAACACCAGUGGCGAAGGCGGUUCUCUGGGCCUUUCCUGACGCUGAGGAGCGAAAGCGUGGGGAGCGAACAGGCUUAGAUACCCUGGUAGUCCACGCUGUAAACGGUGGGUACUAGGUGUGGGGUCCAUUCCACGGGUUCCGUGCCGUAGCUAACGCUUUAAGUACCCCGCCUGGGGAGUACGGCCGCAAGGCUAAAACUCAAAGGAAUUGACGGGGCCCCGCACAAGCGGCGGAGCAUGCGGAUUAAUUCGAUGCAACGCGUAGAACCUUACCUGGGUUUGACAUGGAUCGGGAGUGCUCAGAGAUGGGUGUGCCUCUUUUGGGGUCGGUUCACAGGUGGUGCAUGGCUGUCGUCAGCUCGUGUCGUGAGAUGUUGGGUUAAGUCCCGCAACGAGCGCAACCCUUGUUCACUGUUGCCAGCACGUUAUGGUGGGGACUCAGUGGAGACCGCCGGGGUCAACUCGGAGGAAGGUGGGGAUGACGUCAAGUCAUCAUGCCCCUUAUGUCCAGGGCUUCACGCAUGCUACAAUGGCUGGUACAGAGAGUGGCGAGCCUGUGAGGGUGAGCGAAUCUCGGAAAGCCGGUCUCAGUUCGGAUUGGGGUCUGCAACUCGACCUCAUGAAGUCGGAGUCGCUAGUAAUCGCAGAUCAGCAACGCUGCGGUGAAUACGUUCCCGGG
rnacentral:rRNA from 1 species